rnacentral:lncRNA from 1 species
UCUGGCCCAAGGCUCUCUGACACCUUCCCAGACCUUCUUGGCUUAGCAGCUGAAGACUGACACUGCCCGAUCGCCUCAGAAGCCUAUAGGACCUUCACAGAUGCUCUGGGUAACCCUCACAGUGGAGGGCCUGGUUGCAGUAUGCCUGAAAUUUGGGAUGUAGAAGAUCCUGCCAAUGCUGGGAAAACUCCCUUAUGUAACCUCUUGGUGAAGGAUUCCAAACCUCACUUCACCACUGUAUUCCAGAACAGUGUUUACAAAGUCCUAGAAGUUGUAAAAGAAUGACUGCUACAUGACCUGCUGCCUACGGAGAACUACAUCUCUAAUGGUUUUAAUGUUUUGCUAAGUCAUGUGUUGUUCAUAUCCCAAAAACUUUUAUAGGUAACUGUUUUCAAAUAGAAAAUGUUUUAUUUGGUCAA